rnacentral:lncRNA from 1 species
GAUUGAGUUGGCUAUACGAAGUCUCUUGAGAUUCUGUAUGAAUUUCAGAAUGGAUUUUUUAUUGCUACGAAAAAGCAUUGGAAUAUCAAUAGGGAUUGCAUUGAAUCUGUGGAAUGCUUUGGGUAGCAGUGACAUCUCAACAAUAUCGAGUCUUCCAAUUUUCACAGCUAUAAUUUUCCUUCUUCUGACUACAUUCACAGCAUCCUGUAAGUUUUAGUAUGUUGUUUUUAUUUUCAUUUGUCUCAAGAUAUUUUCUAAUUUCCCUUGUGAUUUCUUCUUUGACCCUUUAGAUGUUUAAGAGUGUGUUGUUUACUUUCCACAAUUUGUGAAUUUUUCUUUUUUUCUUCUGCUGUUGAUUUCUAGUUUCAUUCCAUUUUGAUUGGGAAAGAUACACAGUAUGAUUUCAAUCUUUUAAAAUUUAUUCAGGCUCGUUUUGUGACCUAACAUAUGGUCUACCCUGGAGAAUGCUCCCUGUGCAGUUGAGAAAAAUAUAUAUUCUGCUGUUGUUGGGCAUAGUAUUCUCUAUAUGUCUGUUAGUCCAAUUUGUCUACUGUGUUGUUUGUGUUAUUUAUUUAUUUUCUGUCUACUUGUAAUAUUUGCCAUUGAGAAUGUGGUAUUAAAGUCUCCUACUAUUAUUGUAGCCAAUAUUUUCAAUAGGGUCUUUGUGUGGCAACCUUUCUGAGGUUUUAUAUGGCUG